rnacentral:rRNA from 1 species
UACGGAAGGCAGCAGUGGGGAAUAUUGCACAAUGGGCGAAAGCCUGAUGCAGCUAUGCCGCGUGUAUGAAGAAGGCCUUAGGGUUGUAAAGUACUUUCAUCGGGGAGGAAAAACAAAACUAAUAAUUUUAUUUCUUGACGUUACCCGAAAAAGAAGCACCGGCUAACUCCGUGCCAGCAGCCGCGGUAAUACGGAGGGUGCUAGCGUUAAUCAGAAUUACUGGGCGUAAAGAGCACGUAGGUGGUUUUUUUAAGUCAGAUGUGAAAUCCCUGGGCUUAACCUGGAACUGCAUUUUGAAACUGAAAUACUAGAGUAUCGUAGAGGGAGGUAGAAUUCUAGGUGUAGCGGUGAAAUGCGUAGAUAUCUGGAGGAUACCUGUGGCGAAAGCGGCCUCUAAACGAAUACUGACACUGAGGUGCGAAAGCGUGGGGAGCAAACAGGGAUUAGAUACC